AAGGCGGUGGUCCGGCAGCCUGCGGGUGGGGCGUGGAGGGGAGCUGGCCGCGGAGGACGUGGACCGUGGCUCCGAGGGUGCAGCGUUUCCCGGUGAUUAAGCGUACGCCUGUCCUACCCCGGUGGGCGCUGAGAGGAGUGAAAUUAUUGGGCACCUGUGUGGGCUGGGCACCUGUGUCCUCCCAGCAGCCUGGCGAGGCGAUCGCUUGGAGAAGGAUGUAUGCUUGGACUCUGCCUCUGCUCCUUCAGGCUAAGUAAAGCGACUGGGGCGGGCAGGUGUGGCCAGCGCGACUCCUGCUCCAACGCAGAAAUCUCUCUGGCUGGGAGAGUGACAUUCGAGGGGACUGUGGCAUCAGGCAGGGAUCUAUGGCCUUGACCCCAAGCUGUCAGCUUCCUCUCAAGAAGGAGAUCCUGUCGCCCUGCUGUCGGGCCCAGAGACCCAGGCUAAGAAAGUCAGAGCAGCGAUAAAAGAACAAUCUCCGUUUAUUAAACAUGAUUUUUCUGUUUCA